CCGGCGCACGGGUGAGUAACACGUAUCCAACCUGCCGUCUACUCUUGGACAGCCUUCUGAAAGGAAGAUUAAUACAAGAUGGCAUCAUGAGUCCGCAUGUUCACAUGAUUAAAGGUAUUCCGGUAGACGAUGGGGAUGCGUUCCAUUAGAUAGUAGGCGGGGUAACGGCCCACCAAGCCUUCGAUGGAUAGGGGUUCUGAGAGGAAGGUCCCCCACAUUGGAACUGAGACACGGUCCAAACUCCUACGGGAGGCAGCAUG
rnacentral:rRNA from 1 species